rnacentral:rRNA from 1 species
CUUGGUGACAUUAGCGCGAAGGACACACCUCUUCCCAUUCCGAACAGAGAAGUUAAGCUUCGCAGCGCCGAUGGUACUUCGGGGUUACCCCCGCGGCAGAGUAGGUCGUCGCCAGGA